GGACGAGGGAGGGGCACCCAGACCAAAGAAGCUUUCUAGUACAAGACCUACAGCCAAGAGUUUUGCCAGGAGGAAACCUACCUCUACUAUGAAUAAACAACUGGGAUCACCAGCCCCAAACGGGGGAAAUGGAGGCUGAGAGUGAACGUGAGCUCUGCUCCAACAGAGGAGGUUGGCUGUAUCCUGUUCACUCAGUGACUGGGGAGAUCUGGAGAGAGAGUCAGUCACUGUGGAACAUCAAACCACAGAACAGAAAGGGGCCAACCAUGCCCCCUGUGUGAAACAGAAGCGUCGUGUAUAACUUCCCUGUCCUGCCAAGACCACGGCAAGGACCAUGCCGGAGGGUGGAUGAUGGUUUCAGGGAACACACCUCAUAUUGAUUAGAGCAGAUACCUGCUUGUCAAUGUAGCUGGAGGAAGAAGCUGACAGUUGAGGCACUUGUGAGCAGGGAAGGGAAUCGGAAAUCACAUGACCUGCCAGGAGCAUGAGGAGAGGAGGGAAAAAAAGAAAAUAAAAUGCCUAGCACCAUGA